rnacentral:rRNA from 1 species
GACGAACGCUGGCGGCGUGCUUAACACAUGCAAGUCGAACGGAAAGGCCCCUUUGGGGGUACUCGAGUGGCGGACGGGUGAGUAACACGAAAGUAACCUGCACUUGACUUCGGGACUACUUUAGGAAACUGGGGCUAAUACUGGAUAGGAAUCCUUGCUGCAUGGUGGGGGUUGGAAAGCUUCGGCGGGUUUGGGUGGACUGGCGGCGUAUCAGCUCGCUGGUGGGGUUGUGGCUUACCGAGGCUUUGACGGGUAGCCGGACUGAGAGGGCGACCGGCCACAUUGGGACUGAGAUACGGCCGAGACUCCUACGGGAGGGAGCAGUGGGGAAGAUUGCACGAGGGGCGGAGGGCUGAUGAAGCAAGGCCGCGUGCGGGAUGACUGCCUUAGGGUUGUAGACCGCAUGCAGCAGGAGCGAAGCAUGUGUUGACGGUACCUGCAGAAGAAGCACCGGCUAACUACGUG